rnacentral:rRNA from 1 species
AGUGAACGCUGGCGGUAGGCCUAACACAUGCAAGUCGAACGGCAGCACAGUAAGAGCCUGCUCUUACGGGUGGCGAGUGGCGGACGGGUGAGGAAUACAUCGGAAUCUACUUUUUCGUGGGGGAUAACGUAGGGAAACUUACGCUAAUACCGCAUACGACCUACGGGUGAAAGCAGGGGAUCUUCGGACCUUGCGCGAUUGAAUGAGCCGAUGUCGGAUUAGCUAGUUGGCGGGGUAAAGGCCCACCAAGGCGACGAUCGGUAGCUGGUCUGAGAGGAUGACAGGCCACAGUGGGACUGAGACACGGCCCAGACUACUACGGGAGGCAGCAGUGGGGAAUAGUGCACAAUGGGCGGAAGCCUGAUGAAGCGACGCCGCGUGAGGGAUGACGGCCUUCGGGUUGUAAACCGCUUUUAGCAGGGAAGAAGAGAAAUUGACGGUAACGGCAGAGAAAGCGCCGGCUAACUACGUG